CCGGCACGGGUGAGUAACACGUAUGCAAUCCCCCUGUAACAGGGGGAGUAACCCGGAGAAAUCCGGACUAAUACCCCAUAAUAUGGGCGCUCCGCAUGGAGAGCCCAUUAAAGAGAGCAAUUUUGGUUACAGACGAGCAUGCGCUCCAUUAGCCAGUUGGCGGGGUAACGGCCCACCAAAGCGACGAUGGAUAGGGGUUCUGAGAGGAAGGUCCCCCACAUUGGAACUGAGACACGGUCCAA
rnacentral:rRNA from 1 species